rnacentral:rRNA from 1 species
GUCGAACGAUGACCCCCAGCUUGCUGGGGUGAUUAGUGGCGAACGGGUGAGUAACACGUGAGUAACCUGCCCCCGACUCUGGGAUAAGCCCGGGAAACUGGGUCUAAUACUGGAUAUGACCUUUGACCGCAUGGUCUUUGGUGGAAAGAUUUAUCGGUUGGGGAUGGACUCGCGGCCUAUCAGCUUGUUGGUGAGGUAAUGGCUCACCAAGGCGACGACGGGUAGCCGGCCUGAGAGGGUGACCGGCCACACUGGGACUGAGACACGGCCCAGACUCCUACGGGAGGCAGCAGUGGGGAAUAUUGCACAAUGGGCGAAAGCCUGAUGCAGCGACGCCGCGUGAGGGAUGACGGCCUUCGGGUUGUAAACCUCUUUCAGUAGGGAAGAAGCGAAAGUGACGGUACCUGCAGAAGAAGCGCCGGCUAACUACGUGCCAGCAGCCGCGGUAAUACGUAGGGCGCAAGCGUUAUCCGGAUUUAUUGGGCGUAAAGAGCUCGUAGGCGGUUUGUCGCGUCUGCCGUGAAAGUCCGAGGCUCAACCUCGGAUCUGCGGUGGGUACGGGCAGACUAGAGUGAUGUANGGGAGACUGGAAUUCCUGGUGUAGCGGUGAAAUGCGCAGAUAUCAGGAGGAACACCGAUGGCGAAGGCAGGUCUCUGGGCAUCUACU